rnacentral:rRNA from 1 species
UCGCUCCUACCGAUUUGAGUGGUCCGGUGAAUCUUUUGGACUGUGCACGGCUUCGUGCCGUUCGCGGAAAGUCAGGUAAACCUUAUCACUUAGAGGAAGGAG